rnacentral:sRNA from 1 species
AUAACGACUUGGGAAGCCAUGCGCUUCCCGUGUAUGAUUGAACCCGCGGCGCCCCGGGCGUCAGGGUUCAUUUUUGU